GUGAAGUUUAAAUUCGUGCUUAGAUGGCAUAUCCCAAAACCGCUCUACUUACAAGGAUGGCAAACAUGCUCAUCCAAAUGAGUCUUCAGAACCCCCUUACUUUGGCUCAUCCGUGAGCAUUUUACAGAAGCAACCAGCCAAGGAACCCCAUAUGGAUGGGGACAAUCUGAAUGGCUCUGCUAACAGAGGUGAUUAGCGGCAAGGUAUCAUUGCAUCAAUUUGUGUAUUAUCUUGAGUAUACAUGGAUGUGCAUAGCCUGUGUGGAUUUUGUUCGCCAAAGCUUUGGCCCCAAAACGUGUUUGUUACCUCCACCAAUAUUCUGUAUGCAUUCAUCAUAUUGAAGCUAAAAAGUCAUUGUGCUUUUGUAGACCUGUGUUUUUGUAGAACACUUCUCUAUUUUAUCCAUUCAGAACAUUGUUUUAUAUUUUAUCCAUUCAGAACUUGUGUUUUUGCAAAACACUUUUCUAUUUUGCAGUGAGCUUAACUGUCAGACUUUUGAUAGACACUUAUCCAAUAUACUAAUGCCCCAACUGCUCUUGAAGUUAAAAAGUCAUUGGAUGGAGUAAGCAUCCCCAAGUAAUGCAUUUUACAAAUUUACUAAUUGCUAUUGUGGAUUAUCAAGCCUGUGAUAUGAAAUUACUUAUGCGACUUACUCUCCUUCAUAUAUUUCCUUCCCGAACAUAACGAUGCCUGCCACAUGUCCAUAGCCUUUUUGCACAUAAAGAUUUGAAUAUCAAAUUUUAGUCGCACCACAAUAGGUACUAGAAAGUGGUAUAGGCAGUCUUACCACUUCAUGUUGAUAAGUGUCAUAUGCUACAUUUUGCGGCUUCCUAUUGAUAAUGCUUCGAAGAUAAUAUUAACUAAGUAUCCCUUGUGAAUUGUGACAUUGUUUUGUUGCUUUAAAAGGGAUUACACCAAUCCUGACCUUUUUGUCAACCAAAUAAUAAUUGAGGGGAUUGUGUAGUAUGCUUCGUAUGUUCAUAUCUCAUGAUGUUUCACCCCCAACCCCAACCCCAACCCCACCCUCCCCCCUUUUUAAUUUUUGUUGAUCUAACUCAAAGAAAAAUUUGCAGCCCACGAUAGGCCGGAGCCUAAGAGCAGCGUGCUUUUAGGAUUAGUUGAGAUUUGAGAACAUGCAAUAUGCUGUGACGGUGGAUGUUCUGCAAACUGUGUUUUCUGUUUUUGGCGCUGUUAAAAAAAUCACCAUGUUUGAGAAGAAUAGUGGAAUGCAGACUCUAAUAUAAUAUUCAGCUUGAGAAGGACCUCAAGGAACAACAAGUUGUGCAAGGUGCAGUGGAAAACACUUUAGGGGCUGGUUCUAUCAAUUUGCUAUUAGAGAAUCCAAUA